ensembl:piRNA 21ur-14537 ncRNA
UUAGUACCGCUUCCCACAAAU